rnacentral:misc_RNA from 1 species
GAGUAGAGGAGACCCCUCUUCAAACCGGGUCAUGUAUACAUGUAUUAUUGAUGGACUUUUCAAGAGUGGCUUGCCUAAGGUUGCCAGUUACUUCUUUGAUGAGAUGACAUGGAAAGGUCUUACCCCAGAUACCGUGGCACUGAAUGUGGUGAUGGAUGGUUACUCAAAACAUGGACAAAUUGAUAAGGCGAGUAGUUUCUUUUCUACAACGAGAGAGAGAAGUGAAAUGCCUUCCUUGGCUACAUAUAAUAUUUUAUUACGAGGCUAUUCGAGACAGAAGAACAUAUCCGAGUGCUCUAAGUUAUAUCAGUCACUUAGAGAAA